rnacentral:rRNA from 1 species
CCGCAGUUUACAACUCCCAAACCCCUGUGAAACAUACCUUACUGUUGCCUCGGCGGAUCAUCCCGCUCCCGGUAAAACGGGACGGCCCGCCAGAGGACCCCUAAACUCUGUUUCUAUAUGUAACUUCUGAGUAAAACCAUAAAUAAAUCAAAACUUUCAACAACGAAUCUCUUGGUUCUGGCAUCGAAUGAAGAACGCAGACAAAAUGCGAUAAGUAAUGUGAAUUGCAGAAUUCAGUGAAUCAUCGAAUCUAUUGAACGCACAUUGCGCCCGCCAGUAUUCUGGCGGGCAUGCCUGUUCGAGCGUCAUUUCAACCCUCAAGCCCUCGGGUUUGGUGUUGGGGAUCGGCGAGCCUUUCUGGCAAGCCGGCCCCGAAAUCUAGUGGCGGUCUCGCUGCAGCCUCCAUUGCGUAAGUAGUAAAACCCUCGCAACUGGAACGCGGCGCGGCCAAGCCGUUAAACCCCCAACUUCUGAAUGUUGACCUCGGAUCAGGUAAGAAUCCCCGCUGAACUUAAGCAUAUCAAUAAGCC